ACGUAGGUGGCAAGCGUUAUCCGGAAUUAUUGGGCGUAAAGCGCUCGCAGGCGGUCUUUUAAGUCUGAUGUGAAAGCCCACGGCUCAACCGUGGAGGGUCAUUGGAAACUGGGAGACUUGAGUGCAGAAGAGGAGAGUGGAAUUCCACGUGUAGCGGUGAAAUGCGUAGAGAUGUGGAGGAACACCGGUGGCGAAGGCGACUCUCUGGUCUGUAACUGACGCUGAGGAGCGAAAGCGUGGGGAGCGAACAGGA
rnacentral:rRNA from 1 species